CAGAUCAUGCACCAAGUGAUGGAGUUUGUAGUCUUGUAAUGUGCUGAGUGGUUUGGGAAGAUCCUACCUGGAAUUAAUAUUGUUCUCAGAUCAUUUAUAAAUUAUUAGAUGCCUGUGUGUCAUGGAAACCCAGUCCCUUCUCAAGAACAAGGGAUGAAUAUUGAUCAGCCAUCAUGGAAAUCCAUUGCUCAUGACACUGACUGGCUUAAGGGGAGUUAUCUAAUGUGAGUUUGGAUAGUGAAGUAAGGAAGUGUCUGUGGCAGAGGCAAUAAUUUUCCUUACCCACAUGAAGAGAGACACAAAGCAGAGAAGAGGACUUACUUCCUUGGGCAUCGUUGUAUGAAGAUAUAAAGCCUAAGGCUACUGAACCUAUUUCAGGAGUACCUGACACACUGGAGCACUCAAAGCACAAAUACAGAAACAAUCUGAAUUCUUUUUGAUAUUGUUGAACCACUAAAUAAUUCAACAAUGGAAGUGACCUAUCCUGCAGUUACUUAAUUUAUGAGGUAUGAGGAUGACAUUUGUCAUAGAGAGGAAUGAUGAAGUAUGCAUUCAGAGGGUAUCUUUGGUAA